GAGGGGUCACUCAGGGGUCACUCAGGGUCACUCAGGGGUCAUUCAGGGGUCACCCAGGGGUCAUUGGGGUCACUCAGGGGUCACUCAGCGUCACUCAGGGGUCACUCGGGUAAUUGAGGGGUCACUCAAGGGUCACUCAAAGGUCACUCAGGGUCACUCAGGGGUCACUCAGGGGUCAUUGAGGUCACUCAGGGUCACUCAGGGGUCACUCAGGGGUCACUCAGGGUCACUCAGGGGUCACUCGGCCACCUGGACGCCGCCGCAGUUCUCUUUGCUCUCCGAGGUGAUGGCCAGGUACUCGGAG